GCCAAGGGGGUGAAUACUUUCUCAAGCCACUGUAUUGAUAUAGUAGAAUGAAAAAAAUGAUUACUUCUAUUAUGCAUAUUGUAACAUCUUGUGAGGAGUUACUUUCUAAUAUAAACACCCUUGACAUCUUUCUCAUCAAACCUCGUAAGAUUGCUUUCCGUGCUGUAUUGACGUAUCCUGAGAAUGACAUCUGCUGCUUUAGAUUGAACAGUCAUAUCUCAGUUAUUGUUUUCUUAUCUACAAAAAAUAAGCUAUUUUCUUUACUUUCAGAGUGCGAGCUGAUCAAGGGGACGAAAAUGUAGAUAAUGCCAGAUGUUUGUUCACUGUCCGAGGAACAGUCUGUGGAAGCUUUAUUGUUGGCAAAGUGUCCAUAACCAGAGGAAAUUAAACUGUUCUGUGUUUUUUUUCUCUCUUCCUCUCUACCUGUCUCACAUGCAUUAAUUUAAAAAACCUUAAGAUGUCAGCUGCUAAUUUUAAGAUUUACACCACAUAAACACUCAGCCAUUUUCACUGGACUAUAAAGCCCCUGUUGCUGCGAAGUCAUGAUUUCCCUGGGGGUUAGCCUUGCAAUAACCAAGUGGUGAGACACAUAGCCCUCUUUAUUUAAAUGUUUCAGGUACACUCAGACAGGUGUUUGAGUCACAUACAGUCAGUAACCACUCACAGAGGCACACACAACUUGCAUUUAUAUAACCUCAGACCCACCUCAGUGUUCACUAUCCACAGAGGAAGACCACAGAACCACAGACAUUAGGUUCCUCCCCCCACAAAACCUUUUCUCUCUCUCUCUGUUAGAGUGGAACGCUCAUGGAGAGAUGUUUGGAGUACUGUGACAUGUCAGUACUACAACGUGCUGCACAGUUUGGAGGAAGAAGGCUACCUUGACCUGUCGAAUUCUAUCCACCUCUUCUGUGUGGGAUAUGUAUUUCCUACCUUGUCUGCGGGCAGAUCUGCAGCAUUUCACAGAGAGUUGGAAUAAUCACCCUUUAAGUACAGAGGCGAACCUGACACCUCACCAGCUGUGGCAUAUCGGAAUGCUACAAACACCUGUGUCUGUGCCAGACUACAGUAUGCAGAGAUUCAAUAGGUGGAGGACCUGCUUUAUCAGGAGGAUAAUCUGGCAAUACUGACAAUGGGGUGUAAUUGUUCCUGACAUCCCAUGCCCCCUGUCUACUGAGAAUCUUGCAACAUCAAGUGAACCCAACCAUUGACUCCUCAUCUUUUGGUCAGGACAUAUACAUGCCUGCCCUUCGAUUAGUUAUGAGUUUCCAGCCUUUUAAGGUGCAGUACUCCCACACUAAGUAAGAUAUUGUUUUAGCACCAGUGCCACUCUUGAUAAUGGCAACAACAAAAAACAAAUUGGGAGGAGGGAGAAAGGAUAGCAGGCCCAGCUGUCAAAGUGAGAGUAGGCUAUUCUGGAUAGAGCAGGUACUUUUGUGUAGUCCGCAGAUACAGAGAGCUGUGAAAGCCUGUCUGCAGAUUAAAAAGGUCCAAAUGAAGAGCAGCGGUUCUCAGUCCUGGUCCUGGGGACUCAAAGGGGUACAUUUUUGUUUUUGCCUUAGCACUACACAGCUGAUUAAAAUGAUCAAGUCAUCGUCAAGCUUCAAGUGGCUUCAAGUGGUAUUUAUGUAUUCAUUUGUGACGCUAUCCUUGACAUGAUCCUGCUAUUGUCACAUGCAUCUAUCUACCCAAUAUAAUCAUGAUUUGAUAUAAGGGAUAUUAUACAGGAUGUAUUAUUAAAGAGAUGCUUUACAUUGAAAUACAGAUAGAGAUGUAGUAGUUCCAGAGUUAAUGUUUCAAGGUCAGAUUUGCAUUUCACCUCCUGAUGAUUAUGAUGACUGAAUAAAAUAAACAAAGCUUAA